GUUAUAUUUGUCCGUGGACCCAAGACUUUGUUGACGGGCAAAUAUGGAACACUGCAACGAGGACUGUAGCGUGGAUAGCGUGCUGCGCUGGUCUCGCCAACUGAAAAUAACAAUGUGACAUUACGAGCCAACAACAAAAACCUCGAUCCAUCCUGUCUCCACGUAUUUUCUAGUUUGUGCGCUGUGGAGCUUGAAGCUCUUCUCAAAAUUUCAGCACACUCGCAUUUAUUGUAAGUGCAUAGUUUAUCUUAUUUGUGCAGCGACAAAAUUAUUUCGUUUUGUUGUGUGAAUAGUUUCCAAACGCGACAUGUCUGUGCAACUAGUCAAGUAAAUAGUCUACCUUUGUC
rnacentral:lncRNA from 1 species